rnacentral:rRNA from 1 species
GACGAACGCUGGCGGCGUGCUUAACACAUGCAAGUCGAACGGAAAGGCCCUGCUUUUGUGUGGUGCUCGAGUGGCGAACGGGUGAGUAACACGUGAGUAACCUGCCCGUGACUUUGGGAUAACUUCAGGAAACUGGGGCCAAUACCUGAUAGGAGCUCCUUCUUCAUGGUGUGGGUUGGAAAGGUUCGGCGGUUUGGGCUGGACUCGCGGCUUAUCAGCUUGUUGGUGGGGCAGUGGCUUACCAAGGCGUUGACGGGUAGCCGGCCUGAGAGGGUGACCGGCCCCAUUGGGACUGAGAUGCGGGCCGGAGUGAUGCGGGAGGAAGCGGUGGGAAAUUGAGCGAGAUGGGCGGAGGCCUGAUGCAGGAACGUCGCGUGGGGGAGGACGGCCUUUGGGUUGUAAACCGCUUUCGCCUGUGACGAAGAGUGAGUGACGGUAAUGGGUAAAGAAGCAACGGCUAACUACGUG